UACAGAGGGUGCAAGCGUUGUUCGGAAUUAUUGGGCGUAAAGGGCGCGUAGGCGGUGCGGUAAGUCUGUAGUGAAAUCUCUGGGCUCAACUCAGAGUCUGCUGCAGAAACUGCCGGGCUUGAGUAUGGGAGAGGUGAGUGGAAUUUCCGGUGUAGCGGUGAAAUGCGUAGAUAUCGGAAGGAACACCUGUGGCGAAAGCGGCUCACUGGACCAUUACUGACACUGAGGCACGAAAGCUAGGGGAGCAAACAGG
rnacentral:rRNA from 1 species